rnacentral:rRNA from 1 species
AUUGAACGCUGGCGGCAGGCCUAACACAUGCAAGUCGAGCGAGCGGCGGACGGGUGAGUAAUGUCUGGGAAACCGCCCGCUGGAGGGGGAUAACUCCUGGAAACGGGAGCUAAAACCCCACACCACCUCAUGUGCCCAGAUGGGAUUAGCUUGUAGGGGGGGUAAUGGCUCACCUAGGCGACGAUCCCUAGCUGGUCUGAGAGGCUGACCAGCCACACUGGAACUGAGACACGGUCCGGACUCCUACGGGAGGCAGCAGUGGGGAAGAUUGCACAAUGGGGGCAAGCCUGAUGCAGCCAUGCCGCGUGUGUGAAGAAGGCCUUCGGGUUGUAAAGCACUUUCAGCGGGGAGGCGUUACCCGCAGAAGAAGCACCGGCUAACUCCGUGCCAGCCGCCGCGGUAAUAC